GUGCUUGCUUUGUCAGCACAUAUACUAACAUUGGAAUGAUAUGGGAAAGAUUAGAAAGGCAUCUGUGCUGGAAUGACAUGCAAAUCCAUGAAGUAUUCCAUAUUUUA